rnacentral:tRNA from 1 species
GCGUCGUUAGCUCAAUUGGCAGAGCAGGGGCCUCUUAAGCCCAAGGUUCGGGGUUCGAUUCCCCGACGACGCACAA